GGAGGAAUAUUGGUCAAUGGGCGAGAGCCUGAACCAGCCAAGUCGCGUGAGGGAAGACGGUCCUAUGGAUUGUAAACCUCUUUUGUCAGGGAACAAAAGCGAGUAUGUAUACUAGUCUGAGUGUACCUGAAGAAAAAGCAUCGGCUAACUCCGUGCCAGCAGCCGCGGUAAUACGGAGGAUGCGAGCGUUAUCCGGAUUUAUUGGGUUUAAAGGGUGCGUAGGCGGCAUGGUAAGUCAGCGGUCAAAUCGAGGGGCUCAACCCCUUUCCGCCGUUGAAACUGCCGUGCUUGAGUGGGCGAGAGGUACGCGGAAUGCGCAGUGUAGCGGUGAAAUGCUUAGAUAUUGCGCAGAACUCCGAUUGCGAAGGCAGCGUACUGGCGCCUGACUGACGCUGAGGCACGAAAGCGUGGGGGAUACGAAGCAUGAUAGAUACC
rnacentral:rRNA from 1 species